rnacentral:lncRNA from 1 species
GAGCAGGGGAAGAGGCAGAGCCUGGAUUUAUGGCAGAGACUGGGUUAAGCCAUGAAGAGGAGGAUGAGCCGGUCACGUCAAGAAGACUGCAACAGACGGUCUGAACUACCUUUUUGAAGUAUGAGAACACUUAUCUGAAAGGAGGGAGCAGGCUGAUCACUGGGAGAAAAGGAAGCAGCCAGGUGGCACAGGCAAGUGGAAGGUGUCUCUCAACCCACCCCGACUGCCAGCCUCAGAGCCUAAGCUGUCAUUUUCCUCAGAAGGCGUGGA